UACGUAGGGACCAAGCGUUGUUCGGAUUUACUGGGCGUAAAGGGCGCGUAGGCGGUCGUCCAAGUCGCGUGUGAAAGCCCCCGGCUCAACUGGGGAGGGUCACGCGAUACUGGUCGACUCGAAGGCAGGAGAGGGUAGUGGAAUUCCCGGUGUAGUGGUGAAAUGCGUAGAUAUCGGGAGGAACACCAGUGGCGAAGGCGACUACCUGGCCUGUUCUUGACGCUGAGGCGCGAAAGCUAGGGGAGCAAACGGG
rnacentral:rRNA from 1 species